CCUACGGGAGGCAGCAGUGGGGGAUAUUGCACAAUGGGGGGAACCCUGAUGCAGCGACGCCGCGUGGGUGAAGAAGCGCCUAGGCACGUAAAGCUCUGUCAGCCGGGGAGAAAAUGACGGUACCUGAAGAAGAAGCCCCGGCCUACUACGGGCCAGCAGCCGCGGGAAUACGUAGGGGGCAAGCGUGAUCCGGAUUUACUGGGGGUAAAGGGGGCGUAGACGGCACUGCAAGUCAGGAGUGAAAGCCCGGGGGCCAACCCCGGGACUGCUGUUGAAACUGGGUGGCUGGAGUGCAGGAGGGGCAGGCGGAAUGCGUGGUGUAGCGGUGAAAUGCGUAGAUAUUGGGAGGAACACCGGUGGCGAAGGCGGCCUACUGGACUGCAACUGACGUUGAGGCCCGAAAGCGUGGGGAGCGAACAGGAUUAGAUACCCCUGUAGUC
rnacentral:rRNA from 1 species